UUUGGGAAAAAACUGGAAGUGAUAAUUUUGGGCGGUUUGCCUGGUGGCAAUAUUGUCAAGGAUUACAUAAUAUGAUAAUGGCAAUGGCAAAUGCAAUUUGUAAAAGUAUUUAUUCCCGUUACUCGUAGAGUAAAAAAAAUACUAGAUACGUUGAAAAGAUCAAUAGCCGAGUUGAUGUGGCCAUGUCCUUCUGUCCGGCUGCCUGGCCGUCCCUAUGAACAUCGAGAUUUCAGGAACUAUUAAAGAAAAAUAAUCGCGUAAUAGUAAUUGAGCAACAAAAACAUCUACUUGACCAAUCCAGAACAAUUGACCUGCAACCACUAUUAAAAGGUUUAGAUUUAUAUUUUUUUAUACCUCUGAAGUGAAAGUCUUCAUAUGUAUAUGUUUUUGAAAAAAUUAUUUUGUUAUAUUUAAUAUAUUAGUCAUAUUAAUUGUUACCAUAAAUUGCUUAAAAAACGACCAUAGCUUAAGAAUUAGCAACAGUAAAGCGAUAUUAAUUUGUCUUUGGUUUAUUUUGUGCAUUAAAAUUUAAGGCUUAGUAAGUUAACAACGAACUCCCAGGUUUGCAUCAGCAGGCCUAUUUUUAUUCCUCCUAUUAAUAUUAAUCAUUUUAUUACCCAUAAUUUAUUAAUAUUAAGCAUUUAAUAUUAUAAUUAUUACUCCACUCAUGUAUGGUCCACCCCUAAUUGGGUCCACCCUAAUUGGCCCGAGAGCUGAGCCAACAUAUUGCGCCCUUAUGGGCCGUGGCUUUGUCCCAUUGGCUAGCAGCGAUCGUAUGACUUCUGCAAAAUGUGCAUGGUCAGCGGUCUGCCACGGGCAUCCGGUCAUGCAUGAGCUUUUGUUAGUUCUUAAGUUCAGUUCUGAUUUUAUAUUCAAUUAAUAAAGAGCACAAGCUCAUAUAA